ACAACCUAUUGUUUUCGUACGAAUUCUUAUUGGGUGUCAAGCAACUAUGUUGCGAGACAACCUAUUGUUAUUGUACGAAUUCUUAUUAUUAUUAUUAUUAUUAUGCUGCCAUUGGAGUCAAUGGCAGCCCAUAGAACCGCUUGGCGAAAAGUUGUGAAAUUUGGCACACUUGUUCAGGACUGCCCCAUUAGCCCAUUAAGCCAAUCUAAGGUCGCUAGCCCAACAGCUCUAGCGCCACCAACAGGUCAAAGUUGGGCAUGCAUUCAUGUUCAUAACUUUUGACCUAUUCGACCAAUUUUCACAAACCAGGUAUCAUUGGAUUCCUUGAACCAAGCCCAGUUCAACACAUCCUAUGACGUCAUUGCGCCAUGACGUAUAUGUCCGCCAUCUUGGUUUAUGUCAAAAACCUUCAAAAUGCUACUCCUAUCACAAAUCUUGUCCAAUCAUCUCGAAACUUGGCACACAUGAUCUUCUGGCCAUCCUUGAUGAAAAACAUCGAAUAGAUUUGUCAAAACCGUUUGCCCGCUACAGCAAAUCAAAUUUGGCGGCAUAGCCGCCAAACCGGAUGUAAGCCCAUAUCUCAGCAGCCCUUUGACAUAUCAUAACCAACCUUGGUACAUAGACCCAUGACCCCAGAAAGGUGACACUGAAUAAUUUUGGUGAGAUUUGACCUCUAGGUGGCGCUGUUAUUAAUGUCGAUGUGUUUUGACUCCUCUCUCUUCACAUGAGUACAUUUAAAACUUAUUUUCAAUGUCUAGUGAUACUAUCAGACCUCCCCGUAUAGCUAGUAUAUUAUUUCUCGCAGAAAUAUCCGCGACAGCCAAUGAUAUUCGACCGCGAAGCCGCCAAACCGGAAACACGGCAAUUUCUCAGCAUCCCUUUGACAAAUCAUAACCAAACUUGAAACAUAGACCCAUAACAUCAUCAUGGGGACGCUUAAUGAAUUUGGUGACCAUUGACCUCUAGGGGGCGCUAUAAUUAAUGAAGACGUGUUUUAACUCCUCUCUCUUCACAUGAGUACAUUUCAAACUUAUUUCUAAUGUCUGAGGAUACUGCCAGACCUCCUUAUAUAGCUUAUAAAUUAUUUCUCAUUGUAACAUCAGAACUUGGCCGCCAUGUUGAAAGUUGUCAAAAUUAGUUGUAAAUUCCCACAGGCCACAAAUUAUGUCCAAUCUUCAUGAAACUUUGCAUAUAUGAUCUUCCGACCAAGCUGAACAAAUGUAUUAAACAGCGUUCUCAAAUUCAAAACCGUUUGGCCGUGACAGCCAAUC
rnacentral:lncRNA from 1 species